CAAGAGUUGGAGCCAUCCUCCCCUCAGCUUCUACUUUCUGCUUUCUUCUGGAACAUGCUAUGAUCACCAGACAAUACAUCACAUCCUGUAUUACCUUCCCCUGAUCUCACAGCUUCCGAAAACAGGAACGAUCACGGCUUUGAAGGUAGGCCACGCUGGUGUCACCAGUUUCUA
rnacentral:lncRNA from 1 species